GAAGAGAUGACUGAGCGGCUAAAAGUAACAGAUUGUAAAUCUGUCAGGUUUUACCUAUCGUAGGUUCAAAUCCUACUCUCUUCA
rnacentral:tRNA from 1 species